rnacentral:rRNA from 1 species
GGCAAGUCUGGUGCCAGCAGCCGCGGUAAUUCCAGCUCCAAUAGCGUAUAUUAAAGUUGUUGCAGUUAAAAAGCUCGUAGUUGAAUUUCGGGGUUCUACCGUUGGUCGGGCUUUGUCUGUACUGGUGUGUAGAAUUUCUACCUUCUGGGGAACCAUCAUGCUAUUAAUUUAGCGUGGUGGGAAACCAGGACCUUUACCUUGAAAAAAUUAGUGUGUUCAAAGCAGGCUUAUGUCUGAAUACAUUAGCGUGGAAUAAUAGAAUAGGACGGUGGUCCUGUUUUGUUGGUUUCUGAAUCACCGUAAUGAUUAAUAGGGAUAGUUGGGGGCAUUAGUAUUCAAUUGUCAGAGGUGAAAUUCUUGGAUUUAUUGAAGACUAACUUCUGCGAAAGCAUUUGCCAAGGAUGUUUUCAUUAAUCAAGAACGAAAGUUAGGGGAUCGAAGACGAUCAGAUACCGUCGUAGUCUUAACCAUAAACUAUGCCGACUAGGGAUCGGACGAUGUUAAUUUUUCUUGACUCGUUCGGCGCCUUACGGG